UACGGGGGGGGGGCAAGCGGUUGUUCGGAAUUACUGGGCGUAAAGGGCUCGUAGGCGGCCAACUAAGUCGGAUGUGAAAUCCCCAGGCUCAACCUGGGAACUGCAUCCGAUACUGGAUGGCUUGAAUUCGGGAGAGGGAUGCAGAAUUCCAGGUGUAGCGGUGAAAUGCGUAGAUAUCUGGAGGAAUACCGGUGGCGAAGGCGGCAUCCUGGACCGACAUUGACGCUGAGGAGCGAAAGCGUGGGGAGCAAACAGG
rnacentral:rRNA from 1 species